AGGGGGCUGGUCUGCCGGACCUGUGGGUGUGCACCUGGGCUUGUUAAACCCUCAGCUCAGGGCCUGGCUUUGUGGGUCCUCAUCUCAGAGACCUGGGGAACUCGGCCCUGUUCUCUGAGCUCUAAUCUCUGAGCCUUCAUCUUUCAGAAGCUGGGUCUUCAGGAUCCCGUCCCCAACUCCCACCCCGCCCCGCCCCACACAGCCAGGCACUGAGACCCAGGACGGGCCUGGGGGAGAGGGGUCAGGCGAGCAGGUUAAAGGGGCAGCAUUCCCACGGCCUGCCCGGGGCUGCGGCAUAAUUAGAGGUCUCAGGAGCAGCCUCUGCCCAGGAUACAGAUGGAGGAGGAUCCAUCCAUUCAGGCCCCAGAGGUGACGAAGAAAGGAGAGCAGAGAAGGGGAGACAGAGAGACAUGCACAGAUACAAGGAGAGGGGAGCAGGUAUGGUGAGCAGUUUCCCCGCCCGCGGAGGGCCGCCCAGGGCACCCACGGAAAAGGAUGCGCUGGAAGUUUCGCUGCAGCCACAGCUUCCAACUGCAUGGUGGCUCCCAACGGGGCCCCCUCAAGAAGCCAGCGGCCACACUGCUCUGGGGACCCCUCGGGCGUGCCAGGCCAGGCCCGAGCGCUGGGCAGCCGAGCAGUCAGCCAGGAGGCCGCGCCGCAGGGCCGUGUCGGGGCUUUCCCGCUGCCUUCCUGGCGUAAGGAAUGUUCUCUUUCCAGGACCGCUGGCCCUCUCUCCCCCGCCGAUGCUGACUUGGGUUUUCCUCACUGUUUGCAGAAGCGCCUCCACAGCCGGCGGGGCCGGUCUCCCCCUCACUGUCCCCUGGGGAGGCGUACGUCAGUAUCUCGUUCGUGAUUAAAACAAAACACUGGGCUGUCCCCCGGAGCCCUGCCUGCCUCUCAGCUGACCGGUCCGCGUUGCGGCUCUGGCCUUGUCUUCCCAGAGGCCUCUGCGCCCUCUGGGUUCUAGGAGGGCUGACCAGGGUCCGCGUCCCCCACACACAGCCUGUCCCCCUGGAAGCCAGGUUCUGUGCUUGACCUGCUAGC